GAUGAACGCUAGCUACAGGCUUAACACAUGCAAGUCGAGGGGUAACAAGAGAAAAGCUUGCUUUUCUUGUUGACGACCGGCGCACGGGUGAGUAACGCGUAUCCAACCUGCCUAUAACUAGGGAAUAACCUUGCGAAAGUAAGACUAAUACCCUAUGAUUUCCUUUGAUGACAUCAGAUUAUGAAUAAAGAUUUAUCGGUUAUAGAUGGGGAUGCGUCUGAUUAGCUUGUUGGCGGGGUAACGGUCCAGCAAGGCAACGAUCAGUAGGGGUUUGGAGAGGAAGGUCCCCCAAAUUGGAACUGAGACACGGUCCAAACUCCUACGGGAGGGAGCAGUGAGGAAUAUUGGUCAAUGGGCGGAAGCCUGAACCAGCCAAGUAGCGUGCAGGAUGACGGCGCUAUGGGUUGUAAACUGCUUUUAUACAGGAAUAAAGUUAGCCACGUGUGGUUAUUUGUAGGUACUGUAUGAAUAAGGACCGGCUAAUUCCGUGCCAGCCGCCGCCGUAA
rnacentral:rRNA from 1 species